GGAAGACUCUGACUAUGCGCUGGCACUAGCCCUGGGCAUGGAUUCUUCUUUGAUUGAAGGAACGGGACAGAAGAGAACCAGAACCAUAUCCUUCACACAAAAAGUCUGAUCUUAUCUGCGCUAUUGCCCGAUCAUAGCUGUACUGUAUGAGAUUAGUUCUCCCUCUCCCCUGCCCUGUUAGAACAGUCUGGUCUGAUCCUGUAAGCGAUAUAG
rnacentral:misc_RNA from 1 species